rnacentral:tRNA from 1 species
GGCCGCGUACCAAAGUGGUUGAAUGGAACGGAUUGCAAAUCCGUUGGUCGCAAGACCCUCGCCGGUUCGAAUCCGGCCGCGGCCU